GUGGGCACAUGUUUUAAGAAAAAUGAUCGAUGGUGAUUUUUGUGUAGUGGAGAAAGAUCUCAUCAAAAUUUAAAAUGAGUGGUUGAAAAUGAAUUAAAGAUGAGUUUUUUUUGUAAACAAGGGGUGUUUGUAAGGAUAAUAAUACUCCAUUUGUUUCACUUAUAUUCACCGCGAGGGAAACCGGCCGUUUGAUUUUAUGUUGAGGA
rnacentral:lncRNA from 1 species